rnacentral:rRNA from 1 species
GACGAACGCUGGCGGCGUGCUUAACACAUGCAAGUCGAACGGAAAGGCCCUACUUGCAGGGUGCUCGAGUGGCGAACGGGUGAGUAACACGUGGGUGAUCUGCCCCUUACUUUGGGAUAAGCCUGGGAAACUGGGUCUAAUACUGGAUAGGACCAUGCUGUAGGUGGUGUGGUGGAAAGAUUUUUUCGGUAAGGGAUGAGCUCGCGGCCUAUCAGCUUGUUGGUGGGGUAAUGGCCUACCAAGGCGUCGACGGGUAGCCGGCCUGAGAGGGUGGACGGCCACAUUGGGACUGAGAUACGGCCCAGACUCCUACGGGAGGCAGCAGUGGGGAAUAUUGCACAAUGGGCGCAAGCCUGAUGCAGCGACGCCGCGUGGGGGAUGACGGCCUUCGGGUUGUAAACUCCUUUCAGCCAUGACGAAGCCUCUUUUGGGGUGACGGUAGUGGUAGAAGAAGCACCGGCUAACUACGUG